AAAAAGAACAUGCUCCUUUAGCUUGCAGGAGUUUUUUUUACCCAUCUGCUGAAACUUUCUUCUGUCAAUUCGUCAAACUCAUUCUCUGUCCAGCUAAUUUUUUUUUUUUUUUUUUGGUAGAGACGUGCUUUCAUCAGGUUGCCCAGGCUGGUCUUGAACUCCUUGGCUCAAGUGAUCUGCAAAGUGCUGGGACUACAGGCUUGAACCACAGUGCCCAGCUUAUUCCUGAACUUUUUAGAUUAUA
rnacentral:lncRNA from 1 species